UCGUUUAACAUGGGUUUUGUGUUCCCAGCAGGAACAGGUGGAAAUAUGGAGCAGUGGAAAAACGAGUGGGAGCACAAAGUUUGCAGCCAGGGAUGCUUCCAGCCAGGAGAGGUAACGCACUCGGUUGUUCUGCUGGGCAUUCUAUCACAAGACCCUUGUGUGUGAGCCACGCUGAAGGGUGUGAAGGAAGAGGGAGCAAAUUCCAUGGUGAUUCAGAGGACAAUCUCCCCAGUGCAGAGGUGGAAACCCCAUUGCACCUCAUUUUAAUUGCCAGCACGUCGAGCAGGGAAAACUGUACAAGCACUGAAGCUGGAAUAAUGUUUGAUCCUUGUCCUCACGUGGAGAAACUGGUGGCCUAUAGAUUUCUCUGAUUUCAUAUCUUUAUCACGCUGGUAAGAGGAUUUCCAUCUGUUUUAUGAGAAUCUGGGGUUUCCCUGAAAGGUAUGAGGGGAUCCAGACAGAGAUUUAUUCUGUUUUAAAGACAGAGUCACAGA